rnacentral:rRNA from 1 species
UAAUACUAGCGGUCCAAGUCGCAGCCAUUUUUAUUGGGUCUAAAACAUCCGUAGCUUGCUUAGUAAGUUUCUUGUGAAAUUUUGUAUCUUAAGUACAGAGCGUGCAAGAAGUACUGCUGAGCUAGAGACUGGGAGGCGUAGGAAGUAUGUUCAAAGUAGCGGUAAAAUGUUUUAAUCUUGAACAGACUCACAAUAGCGAAGGCAUCCUACGAGAACAGUUCUGACAGUCAGGGAUGAAGGCUAGGGUCGCGAAAGGGAUUAGAUACCCCUGUAGUCCUAGCAGUAAACACUGCACACUAAACAUCGGUUCCUCCUCGAGAGGCAUCGGUGCUGCAGGGAAGCCGAAGAGUGUGCUACCUGGGAAGUAUAGUCGCAAGGCCG